GAUGAACGCUGGCGGCGUGCCUAAUACAUGCAAGUCGAGCGAACGGACGAGAAGCUUGCUUCUCUGAUGUUAGCGGCGGACGGGUGAGUAACACGUGGAUAACCUACCUAUAAGACUGGGAUAACUUCGGGAAACCGGAGCUAAUACCGGAUAAUAUUUUGAACCGCAUGGUUCAAAAGUGAAAGACGGUCUUGCUGUCACUUAUAGAUGGAUCCGCGCUGCAUUAGCUAGUUGGUAAGGUAACGGCUUACCAAGGCAACGAUGCAUAGCCGACCUGUGAGGGUGAUCGGCCACACUGGAGCUGAGACGCGGUCCAGACUCCUACGGGAGGCAGCAGUAGGGAAUCUUCCGCAAUGGGCGAGAGCCUGACGGAGCAACGCCGCGUGAGUGAUGAAGGUCUUCGGAUCGUAAAACUCUGUUAUUAGGGAAGAACAUAUGUGUAAGUAACUGUGCACAUCUUGACGGUACCUAGUCAGAAAGCCACGGCUAACUACGUG
rnacentral:rRNA from 1 species